GCUGAAGUAAUUGCUUCUUAGCAUGGAAAUCACUUGUAAAAGUUUCACAGAGGGAGACUAAAUGCUAAAUACACAGGUUAAAGAUUUUGGCUAAGAUCGGAAGUUUCAUUCAGAAAAGGGAGAAGCAAGUGCAAGUGGAACAAAAAGGGCUUUCACAUUAAGAAGAGUUCUAUGGCUAGGAGAUGUGAAUGUAAAAUGAGAAAAACCCUUGUUUUCUAUAGGACCUGCUACUAUGAAUACACUUAGACUAAAUAUUUGUUGUACUCAUUAUUGGUUUAAUUAUAGUGAUAAAAUUCCAUAGCAAGAUUCUGGUAUAUAACAGUAGUAAAUGGAAGAAUUUUGAUCUUUAAACGGAAAACAGUAACAAUAUGAAACUGGCUCUAUUUCUUUUGCCAGAAGAAUAUUUUCUGGAAUUUCAAGCCUGUGUGCUUGAGCUCAUUGCUCCCACAUUUUCAAAAUGCCUAAGAUCAUGUACACAUCAAGGUGUGAGUAAGG
rnacentral:lncRNA from 1 species